rnacentral:rRNA from 1 species
CCUACGGGUGGCAGCAGUAGGGAAUCUUCCACAAUGGGCGAAAGCCUGAUGGAGCAACGCCGCGUGGGUGAAGAAGGUCUUCGGAUCGUAAAACCCUGUUGUUAGAGAAGAAAGUGCGUGAGAGUAACUGUUCACGUUUCGACGGUAUCUAACCAGAAAGCCACGGCUAACUACGUGCCAGCAGCCGCGGUAAUACGUAGGUGGCAAGCGUUAUCCGGAUUUAUUGGGUGUAAAGGGAACGCAGGCGGUCUUUUAAGUCUGAUGUGAAAGUCUUCGGCUUAACCGGAGUAGUGCAUUGGAUACUGGGAGACUUGAGUGCAGAAGAGGAGAGCGGAACUCCAGGUGUAGCGGUGAAAUGCGUAGAUAUAUGGAAGAACCCCAGUGGCGAAAGCGGCUUUCUGGUCUGUAACUGACGCUGAGGCUCGAAAGCGUGGGUAGCAAACAGGAUUAGAUACCCCGGUAGUC